rnacentral:rRNA from 1 species
UAUUUUGACUAUACAAAGGUAUUGUAAUAAGAUUUUAAUUGAAUGCUAAGAGAAUGGAUUCACAAAAAAAAUCUUUUUUAAAUUUAAAAAUUUAAGUUAUUUUUAUUUGUGAAGAAACAAUAAUAAAAAUUAAAGACAAGAAGACCCUAUGAAUUUUCAUAACAUUUAAAAAAGAUUUUUUAUAAAGGUUAUUUAAUUGGGGCGAUUAAAAAAGAUUAUAAACUUUUUGAACUUAAAUAUGACCCAUUAAUAGUGAUUAUAUGCAAAAAAUACUCUAGGGAUAACAGCGUAAUAAUUUUAGAUAGAUCUUAUAGAAAAAAUAGUUUGCGACCUCGAUGUUGGAUUAGGAUACUUUUUUAAUGAAGAAGUUAAAAUAAGAAGUUUGUUCAACUUUUAAAAUCC